ensembl:snoRNA small nucleolar RNA SNORD57
UGUGAGUGAUGAACAAAUCUCUCCUGACAUUACUGUGGGGGUAAAAACUGAUUUAAUGAGCCUGACAC